GAGGGUAUAGCUCAGUGGUAGAGUCUAGCAUUCACAAGGUCCUGGGUUCAAUCCCCAGUACCUCCA
rnacentral:tRNA from 1 species